GGAUGUGAGGGCGAUCUGGCUGCGACAUCUGUCACCCCAUUGAUCGCCAGGGUUGAUUCGGCUGAUCUGGCUGGCUAGGCGGGUGUCCCCUUUCUCCCUCACCGCUCCAUGUGCGUCCCUCCCGAAGCUGCGCCCUCGGUCGAAGAGCACGACCUUCCCCGAUAGAGGAGGACCGUUCUUCGGUCAAGGGUAUACGAGUAGCUGCGCUCCCCUGCUAGAACCUCCAAACAAGCUCUCAAGAAGAGGCUUGCUUCUUCUCUCCUGUUCUGAAGAAAUAAAAGAAAAAAAAUAAAAAAUAAAAAAAUCUUCUCUUCUGUUGGUUCUGAAGAAAUAAAAGA
rnacentral:snRNA from 1 species